CGGACGUGGAUAACCUGCCUCACACAGGGGAGUAACAGUUGGAAACGACUGCUAAUACCGCAUAAGCGCACAGCACCGCAUGGUGCAGUGUGAAAAACUCCGGUGGUGUGAGAUGGAUCCGCGUCUGAUUAGCUAGUUGGCGGGGUAACGGCCCACCAAGGCGACGAUCAGUAGCCGGACUGAGAGGUUGAACGGCCACAUUGGGACUGAGACACGGCCCAG
rnacentral:rRNA from 1 species